UUUAAAUAUCAUUGACGUGACCGAUAAAGACAUCGAGUGAAUAAUUAUUCAAGAUGCAUUUUUUAAAGUCAUUUGUAGUUUCAAAUCAAAUUAUCAGACUAAAAUAUUUUCCCGUUGCGCUGCAAGGUAACAUUUGGAUGAUUCAUAUAUAAGUUUUUAGAUCUCUGACUUCAGGAAUGAUGAGCUCUACCAUUCAACUUUUUUCCGAUGAUGUCUACAAUUCAACCUUUUUUUCCGAUGAUGUCUGCAAUUUAACUUUUUUUUUUUUUUUAUUGUAGCGUUAUUUCCUUUGACUCGAAGGCAAAGGUCUCCUGCUGGUCUAGACAUCAUGACGUCAUCAAUGUAUACAAACACUAGGAGGAAAGUUUCAUUCUUCCUCUGUUUCAUGGAAAGCUUUUUAGUUUACCGGUAUUUUACAUUUUCAAAUUGAUCAUAACCUGCUACUGCAUCGGAUGAAAGACAAAGCGAUGUAUGUGAUACCAGAAGGUGAUCCAGUUAUUGUUGGAUUGAGGGAAAACUGAAGCUGCAAUGAAUUAUGAAAUACGUUCAAGGACAUUGCUGUGCGUGCGUGUUCUUCCUUACUUAUUUCAUUACGGGAGAAGAGCCUAGGUAGUCCCUGCUAUAUUUAAAUUACCAAAUGACCUUUUAAAUUGAUGCACAUUUUUGGCACACACAACGUUAUUUUGAACAUUGCUUCAUGUUUCAAUAGUUCAAUUGAACUUCUUGACAAAAGACCAAAAAAUAUGAUUAGAGUUACAUAUAAGAUAUAACAGAUUUAUUUCUGAAACUUAGAGUUUCACAAAGUUUCUCUUUAAUCGUUUCUCACAUGCUUUUUGUAUUCUUGAGAGAUAUUUCUUUAAGAUUAGUGAUGAAAGUUUAUUGCACUGUAAAAUAUUCUGAAUAUAUUUCACAUUUAUUCAUGCAUAUGUCAGUUAUUUUACAGAGACUAAGGUUUAUAUAAGGAGUACAGUCAACCUCUUGUAACAGCUGAAAUGUUUAUUGAAAGCCAACAAAUUGCUUCAAAACAGUUGUAGAAUUAGUUCUUAAAUGUUACAUUCCAUAUUUGAGUGAAGCAACUGCUGUGAAGUUUCCUUCAUAGAGAUAAUAAUUAUUUCUUACAAAAAGUUUGCUUCAUCCUGUACAAAACCGUGUAUUUCCUGUAUCUUAUGGUAGUAUAUCUCCAUACAUAACUUUUCAAGUCUAUAUUUAUUGUACACAGCUCCUCUUAUUACAAAGCAAGCUACAUUCAUACCCAUAAGGGGCUUUUCAUUAAUUAACAAUUGGCCUGCUCUAUGAGUUAGAACCUCUCCUGACCAAGGUCAUUGUGGUGUAAGGCCACAAGAAAGCUGAUUCUUGUUCUGUCAUUAAUAUUGGAUUAUUGCCCUUAAUCCCAAGUUAAAGACACCUAUAUACACUCCUCAAAAUCUCUUGUAUCAUUGCAUAAUACCUCAGGUGUUGGAUUCUACUAGCACCGCACUCCCUUGACUGCACAACCCAACUUUUACAACAGGUUAUAAGGUUCCCUGAAUAUCAACAAUAUAGCUAUAACAUAACCAUGGCAGUGUGGUUAGCAGGUUUGAAGCUGGACAGAGGAACAACUGAGUAAUUCUGUGAUCCAUUCAGGAGAGGAAAGUUUCAAAUAAGUUAUGUCUAUGGAUAAAAUGGUAAGUUUUAGUAUUAACUAUGUUGUAACUUUGUAUUUAAUUUUGAGAGAAUGUUUGUAAAGUAACUUAACUACAAGGAAUAGUGAUUGUUUAUGUUAUACAUUUUUUUUUUUUUUUUUUUUUUUUUUUAAUGGAUCUAUUUCUGAGGUAUUUGAAAAGUCUUUUACAAGGUGGUCCAGUUUUCAUCUUUCAGUUAAGUACAUUUUAUUUGUAUCAGAAUUAAAUAUCUAAUUUUCAUAUGUAUCUAAAUAUAAUGUAGAUUAAUUUAUCCAGUAUGUUUUCAUUACGUCAUAAAAGCAAAUUUCUACAGGUCCCAUCUUUCAUGUUAACUGUAUAUUACCCUUAUUACAGGCUUUUAAUGGGAAGAAUAGAUUUAGUAUCCUUUGUGCCAGAUAUGAUAAAUUUGUCUAGUUUCCUCUGUCAGAGGUGACCAACUGGAGGCUGGUUGGUCAAGCCUGGGGGGAGCCAUGCCCAAUUAAUGCAUCAUAUGUGCAGCUUCGAAUCUCCUAAUUUUUAUAAUGUUUUAUGACCAUGAUGACAGAGUUGCCAUUGUUUUUACAAUGAUGAAAUAAGGACUUACAGAUGUUAUUAUCUAACAUGAUGAAUUUGUCGUAUGAUCACAAAAUUGCAUUUUGCAGUAUUUGCAUAAAAAAUUAAUUUAGACUUUAGUCAGUCCAUACACACUACUGGCCAAAAUUAACUGGCCACUCUUGCACUUUCAGCUCAUUUCAAAAUUUUGGUUCUAUUACUUAGUAUAUUCAGAUGGAAACUUGAUAAGAUGAAGGAAAUAUAAUCAGAAAUAUGUUAAGAAAGAUAUUGCUUAAUAUUUGGGAGUUUUUAUCACCAGCUUCACUGUUUCUAUGAAUUUUUUUUUUUAAUCGCACAUAAAAUGCAAUAAGAAUCAUUGAAAGUUUCAUGUAGAUUACCGAGGAAAAGGCUUUGCUAUAAAAAAAAAUAUUUCUGUCUAGCCUUGCUUUAAUUGUGGUUUCUGUUACUUUGUUACUUCAAAUAAUCUGUACUUGACCAAUUUAUUGCAGUUUUCAUCACAUUUUCACCUGUUUUACCAAAAGUUCUUCAAAUAUUUUGGUGAGGUAAAUGAUUUUUCAAGCAAAUUAAUUUUGAAAUGUAACAUGAAGAUUUUUUUGCAUUCUAAUUACCCACAUAUCUUUGAAAAAACAGUAUUUGAUUACUUAGGCCCAAUUUAUGCAUGGCCCCUGUUCCUAGUUUGAGCACGGAAGACAGUUGUUGCUAUCUAUAAAGAAGGCUGCAGCUGCAAUAAAAUUGCUGAAAGUAUGACAGUAGCAAGGUCUACUGUGCAGGAGAUAUUUAAGAAGCACAAAGGAACAGAAACAGGGAAGGCAGAGGCAUGAAAAAGAAGACAACAGAAGGAGAGGACAGAGUCAUUAUAAGGGCUGCCCUAAAAGAUAGAAAGCGGGCAUCUAGCUCAGUAACCGAUGAGCUCAAGAAGAAUUUUGACAUAGACUUGAGUGGUUGAACAGCGAGAAGAAGAUUUCUGGAGAGUGGUUUAAUGUAUUGUAGGGCCAAGAAGAAGCCAGUGGUUUCAAUUGGGAAAAAGUCCUGUUGAGAGUAGAUUUUGCUUAAUAAGUGAUUAGCCUGUAUCAGGUAGAAGAAGAAAAGGAGAGGAAUAGCUUCCUGAAUGCCUGAAUCCCACAGGUAACUAUGGUGGUGGUAUCAUGGUCGGGCUGCAUUACUAGCAAAGGUGUUGGCUGAUUGUACAAAAUCAGUGGAACAGUUAACAGAGAGUAUUACUACUGUGCAGUUCUAUCUCUAAUCCACUAUUCUGAGGAUAGUGAAGCAGUUAUCCAGCAGGACAGUGCUCCCUGCCACACUGCAAAGAUUAAGAUCUGGGUAGCCAAACAUAAGCUGACAGUUUUGGAAAGCCUGGUAAUUGUUCUGAUAUGAACCCUAUUGACUAUAUUGCAAAGAAAAUUGAGUCUGCAGUGUUUAAAAACAAUUGGACAAGGUAAACAAAGAUUGAAACAACAUUCAAAUUAAAUUUAUAACUUAGGUUGUAUGAGAGUAUGGAACAGAGUAUCGAAGCAGUGAUAAAGGCAAAAGGAGGCUCUACCAGAUAUUAGAGCAAUUGAUUUAUGUAAAAGAUGUUUACAUAGCAUAUAAAUGCUCUCAUUAACUUCUUUAAUCAUUCAGUGUAAGUCUCUGGUUAUAAAUUCAUCAGUGAUUUUGAAAAUGUGUGAUUUUCUUAAAUAAAACCAAGAAAAAAGCUUUCCUGGGAAGGGCAGCUGGUUAAUAUUAGCCAUUAGUGUAACUCUUCAAUACCAGAACAUUAUUUUGUGUGGAUAAGCAAAAUAUAUGUGGUCCAUAAACAGUCUUUAUGUUCUUCCAUUAGGAAAUAAAUUAUGAAAGGAAA